GUGCUCACUUUGGCAGCACGUAUACUAAAAUGGGAACGAUACAGAGAAGAUCAGCCUGGCCCCUGCACAAGGAUGACAUGCAAAUUUGUGAAGCGUUCCAUAUUUUU
rnacentral:snRNA from 1 species